CAGGGAGACAACAAAAUGUUUAAUAUUAUUAUUUUGUCACCUUAGGUCGAUCGGUAUCUCACGUUCUUAUUAUUAAGAAUUUCAUUUCCUAAGUUUUUUCUAGGUCACACCCAUUUUUUUUCCUGGGCCAUUAGCUCAGGUGGUUAGAGCGCACCCCUGAUAAGGGUGAGGUCCCUGGUUCAAGUCCAGGAUGGCCCAUAUCUCUAUGUUGGGGGUAUAGCUCAGUUGGUAGAGCGCCUGCUUUGCAAGCAGGAUGUCAGCGGUUCGAGUCCGCUUACCUCCACUGAUUACCACCUCUUACAUAAAUUGUAGAAAGGAAAUUUUUUGAGUUGUGAUCAAAUUCUGAACGAAUCUAGCUUCCUAAUGAAAUCAUUAAGAUGCUGGACUCAUUGAAUUAAUUUCAUUGUUUUCAGAGAACCUUGACAACUGCAUAGAUUAUUUUUAAAGACAAUAAGCAUCUUUAAUGAUGCAGAUUUAUUAUUUGUGCAAAUGCAUUAAUAACAAUUCUAUUAAGCUGAUGCUUCAAUUAUGAAGUUAUU
rnacentral:tRNA from 1 species